rnacentral:rRNA from 1 species
UACGGAGGGUGCAAGCGUUAUCCGGAUUCACUGGGUUUAAAGGGUGCGUAGGCGGGCAUUUAAGUCAGUGGUGAAAUACCUGAGCUUAACUUGGGAACUGCCAUUGAUACUAUUUGUCUUGAAUGUCGUGGAGGUUAGCGGAAUAUGUCAUGUAGCGGUGAAAUGCUUAGAUAUGACAUAGAACACCUAUUGCGAAGGCAGCUUGCUGGCAUGUUCUGACGCUAAGGCACGAAAGCGUGGGGAGCGAACAGG